rnacentral:rRNA from 1 species
UUAGAUACCCUAUUAUUUUAAAUGUAAAUAUUAAAACUAAGUGAUUAAUAGUUAAGUUCUUUAAAGCUAAAUAAUUUGGCGGUAUUUUUACUUUUCAGAGGAACCUGUUCCAUAAAUGAUAAUCCACGAUUAGAAAUACUUUAAUUAGAAAUUUUUAUAUCGUCGUUGUUAAAUAUUUUAAUAGAAUAUAAUAUUUAAUUAAUUUUUUAAAUUAAAAAUCAGAUCAAGGUGAAGUUUAUAUUAAAGAGGAAAUGGGUUACAUUAAAUUUAAUUUAUGGAUUAUUAAUUUUAAAAAUUUUAUGAAAUUGGAUUUGACAGUAAUUAAUUA